rnacentral:rRNA from 1 species
GCCAGUWGUSAUAUGCUUGUCUHAAAGAUUAAGCCAUGCAAGUCUAAGUAUAAGCAUCAAUACUGUGAAACUGCAGAAGGCUCAUUAUAUCAGUUAUAGUUUAUUUGAUGGUACCCUGCUACAUGGAUAACUGUAGUAAUUCUAGAGCUAAUACAUGGUCGGAAUCUGCAUACUUUCGGGUGUGUGGUGGACUUAUUAGUUUUAUCUUUUGCCAACCUGGCCCCGGUCAGUUCUCUGGUGAAUCAUAAUAAUUUCUAGAUCGCAAUCGGCUUUACGGUCGGCGAUGGGUCAUUCAAAUUUCUGCCCUAUCAGCUAGACGUUAGUGUAGUGGACUAACGUGGCUUACACGGGUGACGGGGGAUUAGGGUCCGAUCCCGGAGAGGGAGCCUGAGAAACGGCUACCACUUCCAAGGAAGGCAGCAGGCGCGUAAAUUACCCAAUCCCAAUACGGGGAGGUAGUGACAAGAAAUACCAAUACUGGUCUAUAUAUUAGUCCGGUAAUUGGAAUGAGUACAACAUACAAUCCUUAACGAGGAUCUAUUGGAGGGCAAGUCUGGUGCCAGCAGCCGCGGUAAUACCAGCUCCAAUAGCGUAUAUUAACAUUGUUGCAGUUAAAAGGCUCGUAGUCGAAUGUAUGAUUACGUAGAACCCGGACCAUCCUCUAGUUAGGAUGUGUUCCGGUGUUCACGAAUCAUCCUUCUGGAGAGCACUUCUGCCCUUGAUUGGGUUGGUUGUGUGAUUCAGAUCAUUUACUGUGAACAAAUCAAUGUGUUCAAAGCAGGCUUUACGCUUGUAUGGUUCAGCAUGGAAUAAUAAGAUAGGACUUCGGUUUUGUUUUGUUGGCUAUACGAACCAAAGUAAUGAUUAAAAGGGAUAGUUGGGGGUGCUAGUAUUUAACGGUUAGCGGUGAAAUGCACGGACCCGUUAAAGACUAACUUAUGCGAAAGCAUUCACCAAGGAUAUCUUCUUUGAUCAAGAACGAAAGUUGGGGGAUCGAAGACGAUCAGGUACCGUCGUAGUCUCAACCAUAAACUAUGCCAACUCGGGAUUGGCGGUAGUUCAUACGACCCCGUCAGAACCGUAUGAGAAAUCAAAGUCUCUGGGUUCUGGGGGGAGUAUGGUCGCAAGGCUGAAACUUAAAGGAAUUGACGGAAGGGCACCACCAGGAGUGGAGCCUGCGGCUUAAUUUGACUCAACACGGGACAACUUACCAGGUCCAGACAUAAUAAGGAUUGACAGAUUGACGAUCUUUCUUGAUUUUAUGGAUGGUGGUGCAUGGCCGUUCUUAGUUGGUGGAGUGAUUUGUCUGGUUAAUUCCGUUAACGAACGAGACCUCAGCCUACUAAAUAGACUAUCUAAUGUUUACAUUGGUUAGACUUCUUAGAGGGACUAUGAGUUUUUAACUCAUGGAAGUAUGAGGCAAUAACAGGUCUGUGAUGCCCUUAGAUGUUCUGGGCCGCACGCGCGCUACACUGAUACAAUCAGCAAGUUCCUCCUUGGCUGAAAAGCUCGGGUAAUCUUGUGAAAUUGUAUCGUGUUCGGGCUUGACGGUUGCAAUUUUUCGUCACAAACGAGGAAUUCCUAGUAAGCGCAAGUCAUUAACUUGCAUUGAUUACGUCCCUGCCCUUUGUACACACCGCCCGUCGCUGCUACCGAUUGAAUGUUCCGGUGAACACUUUGGAGCCUUGGUUCUGGUUAGUUUACUAACCUUUACCUUGGCAAAGUUGUGUAAACCUUAACAUUUAGAGGAAGCAAAAGUCGUAACAAGGUUUCCGUAGGUGAACCUGCRGAHGGAUC